rnacentral:lncRNA from 1 species
UAUGGCACACAACGACCUACACUUGAUAUGUCUAUCGUUCUAGUAAUAGUAUAUCAUUUAGUCGCGAACUCAUUUAAGGACUAAACGAUAAAUCUUUCUUUAUUGAUUUAAAUAGUCCUAAGGACUUUCAUCAUAACAUAGAAGUUUGAUGUAGAAGAUGUACAAGCUUAUGAUAAAAAUUAUCAAAUAAAUAUUUUAUUAAUUAAUUCAUAUAU